rnacentral:rRNA from 1 species
GACGAACGCUGGCGGCGUGCUUAACACAUGCAAGUCGAACGGAAAGGCCCUGCUUUUGUGGGGUGCUCGAGUGGCGAACGGGUGAGUAACACGUGAGUAACCUGCCCUUGACUUUGGGAUAACUUCAGGAAACUGGGGCUAAUACCGGAUAGGAGCUCCUGCUGCAUGGAGGGGGUUGGAAAGUUUCGGCGGUUGGGGAUGGACUCGCGGCUUAUCAGCUUGUUGGUGGGGUAGUGGCUUACCAAGGCUUUGACGGGUAGCCGGCCUGAGCGGGUGACCGGCCACAAUGGGACUGAGAUACGGCGCAGACUCCUACGGGAGGCAGCAGUGGGGAAUAUUGCACAAUGGGCGGAAGCCUGAUGCAGAAACGCCGCGUGCGGGAUGACGGCCUUCGGGUUGUAAACCGCUUUCGCCUGUGACGAAGAGUGAGUGACGGUAAUGGGUAAAGAAGCACCGGCUAACUACGUG